UUAACUAUUUGCUUUUUACUUCAGGCUGCAAAGGGUUGCUAGAGUUUGCGUUUCGGCCGGAGGGCCCACCCGAAGGAGAGCCCGCCUGACGCCGAUCAUGGGGCGGGAAGCGAAGGGUGGGGGUGAGCGCCGAGGCGCUCGGUAACCCAGUAAUGAUCCUUCCGCAGGUUCACCUACGGAAA
rnacentral:misc_RNA from 1 species